GACGGACGCUGGCGGCGUGCUUAACACAUGCAAGUCGAACGGAAAGGCCCUGCAUUUGUGGGGUGCUCGGGUGGCGAACGGGUGAGUAACACAUGAGUAACCUGCCCUUGACUUUGGGAUAACUUCAGGAAACUGGGGCUAAUACCGGAUAGGAGUUCCUGCUGCAUGGUGGGGGUUGGAAAGUUUCGGCGGUUGGGGAUGGACUCGCGGCAUAUCGGCUUGUUGGUGGGGUAGUGGCUUACCAAGGCUUUGACGGGUAGCCGGCCUGAGAGGGUGACCGGCCACAUUGGGACUGAGAUACGGCCCAGACUCCUACGGGAGGCAGCAGUGGGGAAUAUUGCACAAUGGGCGGAAGCCUGAUGCAGCAACGCCGCGUGCGGGAUGACGGCCUUCGGGUUGUAAACCGCUUUCGCCUGUGACGAAGCGUGAGUGACGGUAAUGGGUAAAGAAGCACCGGCUAACUACGUG
rnacentral:rRNA from 1 species